ACUUUCAGAUCCUGGGCGUAAGGACGCGUAGGCGGAUUAUCAAGUCUCUUGUGAAAUCUAACGGCUCAACCGUUAAACUGCUUGGGAAACUGAUAAUCUAGAGUAAGGGAGAGGCAGAUGGAAUUCUUGGUGUAGGGGUAAAAUCCGUAGAUAUCAAGAAGAAUACCUAUGGCGAAGGCGAUCUGCUGGAACUUAACUGACGCUAAUGCGUGAAAGCGUGGGGAGCAAACAGGAUUAGAUACCCUGGUAGUCCACGCCCUAAACGAUGUAUACCGGUUGUUGCUGUGCUAGUCACGGCAGUAAUCCACCUAACGGAUUAAGUAUACCGCCGGGGGAGUACGGUCGCAAGAUUAAAACUCAAAAGAAAUUUGACGGA
rnacentral:rRNA from 1 species